UAAAUACCCAUUACCCUUUACCCUACCUCCUACUUAUUAAAACACACCUAAAGACCUAGAAAAAAGGAGAGCUCCCUUUUAGAUUGAAUAGAGACAGCGGCGUCCCACUUUUGAGCUCCCAUUCUCCCAUUUGCAAAGAGAAUUAGCUCAUAAAAGAGAAAGAACAUAUGAAAGAGCAAGACAGAUAAUCACGCUUAGUGUCAUCGUCAUCAUUUAAAACAUAAGUCAAGAUCUUCUCCUUCCGAGCUCACGCCGAAUUGGAUGUGUUGCCUGCACUUCGCUACACAGUGCAUCGUAAAUAUCCCUAGAAACCAACCAAACGGACUUCAAUGUUCUGUUUGGUUAUAAGUUCCAACAAAUAAUUUUACAAUUGGAGUUUUGGUCCAUGGAUUCCUGCUGAUUGUCUUGGUCGUUGUUCUAGCUACGAUGUUGAAUUUUUCUUGUAAUUGCUGCUUCUGAAUAGAAAAUAUAUUGAAGAACGUUUUCAGCCAUAAGGACAAAAGGGUUGCUGUGAUUCACUUCCAACCGAGAGGUUAUGAGUUCGAGUGGGGCUCUAUUUGAAAACAGCCUUUCUAUCCAAGUGUAGGGGUAAGGUGUGCAUACACACUAAACUCCCUAGACCCAACUAAGUGGGAUUAUACCGGGUUGUUGUUGUUUUCAGCCAUAAGGUUCACUUUUCUUUAUCUCUACUGUUGUACAUUUUAUUUGCUUGUUUCUGUCUUGCUUAGUUAUUAAACACAUGAUAUUUUGCUUCGUUAAUAUUCUUUUACUGCGUGUUGGUCUCCAUUAGUGUUCCUUUAUAAUUUGGUUCAUUUAGUUUGGAUUAAAAGAAAAUUCGUAAAUCAUGUCUUAUGGAUUGCAUUUUUCCAUAUUUUUGGGCGUCUGCAUUUGGUUAUUUUAUUAUUACGCUAAUGAGAAUGUGGUUUUACAUUAGGUAUUGUGUAGGAUAGAUUGUUUUAUUAAGUUAUGACUCUUAAUAGCUCUAAAGAUUAACUGAUUCUCUUAGUGAUUAUAGAAGCAUUAUCAUACUAUUUCCUUCACCAACGCUACUUUCAUAAAUCAUGGCCCUUACAAUAAUUUCAAUGAUUAGGAAAAUAAUUCAAAUGCGCAAGUUGUUUUAGGCGCGACUAAUAAAUCGAUAUGACUAUGGUACGGUUCAUGUGACAUAGUUACGAUGCUUAAUUUUCCAAAUUCGGGGGUGCAUUUCAUGUAAUCCGAUUAUAACAACUUUGAAUGAUAAAACCUUUUGAAAUAAAUUGGGGUAUGCCGUGCUAAAUAAAAUCCCAAAACGCAUGGCCCUCAUUAAAUCAAUUUUAACAUUUAGAAAUCGGGACGUGCCGUUUAGCAAAUUUCCAUGGUCUCCCGAAAAGUAACAACGCAUUAGUCGCUUUAGGCGCGUUCUUUAAUAAGUCUACUUCCUUAAAUUUGGGUGCGCAUUUAUGUGACCCAAAUCCAAAUCUCGACGGUGUUAAAGUAUGUCAAAAAUCACGGGUGCAUUUAUGUGACGUGGUUCGAGACGCAUUUUAAUAUUAUUGCAAUCUUCCUCAAAAAUUCAAUUAAAAACGGUAAGUAAUUUUAAAAUUGCACUGUAGAAUAAACAUGUUUAAAAUCAGAUAAUUAGCCAAUUAUGGUAGUUUAAGCGACCGUGCUAUAACCUUAGAAUCCGAGGGUGCCUAACACCUUCUCUCGAGUUAACAGAAGUCCAUGCUCAAUUUCUGGUUCGCAGACUUUUGAGACGCAUUUUAAUACUGUUGCAAUCUUCCUCAAAAACUCAAUUAAAAGCGGUAAAUAAUUUUAGAAUUGCACUAUAGGAUAAACACGUCUAAAAUAAGAUAAUUAGCCAAAUAUGAUAAUUUAAGCCACCGUGCUAGAACCACGGAAUCCGAGGGUGUCUAACACAUUCCCUCGGGUUAACAAAAUUCCUUACUCAAGAAUUUCUAAUUCGCAGACUUCAUUUGGAAAGUCGAAAAUUUCCUUGAUUUGGGAUUCAAGAUAAACCGAUGACUUGGGACACAAAAAGCCAAACCUAUCCCAAGUGGCGACUCUGAAAUAAAUAAAUAAUCUCAUUUCGAAUAAUGACACUUUAAAUAGAAAAAUUUCCUUAUACAUUAUUCUUUCGGGGUGGGUGUGUAAAAAAGGAGGUGUGACAGACUAUAUAACGAGACAACGCUACCUGCACAAGGUAGGAAUAAGGUCUGCGUACACACUAGUCUUUUUAGACCCCACUUGUGAAAUUACACUGAGUAUGUUAUUAUUGUUAUAUAACGGGACAAUACUCAUUCCCUCAACCAAAUAUAGGACACCCUAAUAAAAGGAUAUAAGCACAAUUUGAUUAGCCGAGGGAUUAGGAACAGAAAACGAAUCUUACAUAUGGUUGAGGUAUUUUUAACAUUGCAUCAUCUUAAGCAUCAUGCAAAUAAAAUAUUACUUUGAGAAGGAAUUGUCAUUGAAAACACAGAUCAUAGUAGUACAACAUGUUUCCUGAAGUCUUUGAGUUGAGCUCAACUCUUUAAAUAUGAAUUCGAAUAUUUUCAUGUAUUAUUACAUUUGGUUCCUGCUUUCUACCUAUAGUUAGCAUGUAUCUCACUAUAUGCCUUUUCAGUGAGAGGAGGAGCAGGAGCUAACAUUAUGGGCAGAAUCGAAGCAAAGAAACUAGUUCUAUUUAUCUGGUGAAGCUCGUGGAAGAUACUCUCAAUAGCGCAAGCACAAAAUAGCUCGAGUCCCAAGCUCAACUCCAGCAGAAUAAAUGGAAAUUCAUGCUAAAAUCUCCUAAUUAGCUAAAGUACUCUUUGCAGAAACAUCAAAUUUGUAAGCAAACAGUCAAGGAAAUAGAAAUUUACAUAAUCUACAGUAAUAUUCAAGGAUUGAAGAUAACCGAGCAUCUCCUCAAGCAUUGGGGAUGCAGCAUCAAAUGCUGCUGUAUGGCACUUCCUGUACUGAUCCGAUGAUUCAAAUUCUUCUUUGUCAUUCCUGUGUGAUUCAAUUGUACAUAUUUAGUGUAACGUUCUAUAGAGGACAGCUCUAGAAACAUAUAUGAUGGAAGACUAGAUACAAAAAUAUUAUGGC
rnacentral:lncRNA from 1 species